rnacentral:tRNA from 1 species
GGGUCGUUAGCUUCAGUUGGUAGAGCAGUUGACUUUUAAUCAAUUGGUCGCAGGUUCGAAUCCGCACGACCCACCA